CGGGGCGUAGCGCAGUGGGUAGCGCGCUUGGUUCGGGACCAAGAGGUCGCCCGUUCAAAUCGGGUCGCCCCGA
rnacentral:tRNA from 1 species